GAAGUUCGCCAGGCAAUCGCGGUGUGUCCGCACAUCGAGGAAAGUCCGGGCCCCAUAGAGCAGGAUGCCGGCUAACGGCCGGGCGCCAUAGCCUUCGGGUGAAAGCGACGGAAAGUGCAACAGAGAGCAGACCGCCGAUGGCUCCUCGCGGAGAUCAGGCAAGGGUGAAACGGUGGGGUAAGAGCCCACCGCGGACGUGGUGACACGGACGGCACGGUAAACCCCAUCCGGGGCAAGGCCAAAUAGGGGGACGCUGACGCUGCUCGCGGAGUCCCCGGGUAGGCUGCUAGAGCGGCGCGGCAACGCGUCGACCAGAGGAAUGAUUGCCCGGCGGGCCGGUUUUCGGACGGGUCCGCUCGACAGAACCCGGCUUAUCGGCGGACUUCCCAA
rnacentral:RNase_P_RNA from 1 species